UUUCAUUUUUUGACACCUCAGAAAAUUUUCUCCGCGCAACAAUACAUUAUCCUACCAACGCUAUUUCAGAUAGACGUGGAGUCGGUAGCCAGCACUUCUACUGAGCAGCGUUUACUGGCCUGUGUAAAGAAUCCCUAUGGUGUGGUGACUGCUGGAGCAUCAAAUACUGUUAAGUACAGAAGAGAAUUUGGAUUGUAGAUAAGGUGUGUUCAUCAUGACAUUUGGUGGUGAUCAGAUGAUUAGCGAGGAGCAGCAAUAUGUAACCAGAUGUAGGAAAGUGACUUUGGUCUUGAGAAUCUUUACAAGAUUUGGAGCUCCUUGAAAGAGCACCAUGAAUACAAAGCUCUGUCCAUGAUAAACAACUGGAUGGAUAAACUGAAUUGGACUGAAUGGUGGCGGAAUGGUGACUCAGACCUUCUUCAAUGAGCCUGACCAUUAACAACUACUGGAACUGAAUGAGUGGCUCAGACCUCCAAAGCAGAGCUAGUUAGAAAUACUAGCAUUGUGGGUUGGAUUGUAGAGCAAGCACCAUGUUAUGAACGUUUUUGAUCAUGGGGAUUUGGGAGUCUUGAGUUCUAGGAGACAACAAGACUUCAAAUUAGUUUUCGAUAGCCAACAUAGAGAGGCACAGAAAGAGCAUACUUUAAGUAUGUUUCAUGGAUGAUAUGCCGGUUUCAGAGACAAGACCUGAGUCUGUUCCUUCAAAGCAAAGCUUCAAUGCCCAAUGUAAAGAGAGACUGAAAGAACAAACACCAAGAUUUUUUUUUAUGGAUUUGUCUGUUCCAGAGAUAAGAAGUGACCCUCCAAACAGAGCUGGAGAGAAAUUAUCGGGGGAGAACAACUGUUUACAGAAAUAUGACCAAGUUCUUAAAGCAGAGCUGUUGAAAAAUUUGAGAUGAUACAACACUCAAAUUACACUUCUUAAUAAGAAGACUUCAAGGUAGCUGUUGAGAAAUUGUUGCAGUGUGAUCAGGCUCUUCUACAAAGCAGAAAGCUGUGUAGAAAUUUAAUCAAACUCUUCUACAAAGAAAGUUGUACAGAAAUUGAGGUAAUUGCUGGUAAUUUUCUUUAGAGCGAGCACCUUGUCCUCAUGUGGAUGGUAUUCAAUUCCAAGAGACAACGAGACCUUGAACAGAGAUGAUGAUAACUGUCUGUUCUAAAACUUCAAGGCAGCAAAUACCUUGGUUUAUGAACAAUUAUAAUCAUAUGGAUGGAAUGUCAGUUCCAAGAGACAGCAAGACCUUUUUCAGAGUUACUGAGGUAACUGAAAAACUAAAACUACAGUUCUCAUAUGGAUGGAAUGUCAAUUCCAAGAGAGAACUAAACCUUGGAGGCCAAAGAUAGAAAUAUUUUCAAUUAAAAAACUGUUUAUUGUUUAGAGCAGGCUCUUCAAAGCAACUUAAUUGAAAUUACCUGUCAAGUAGCUUUGAAAUUGAAAGUGAUCAAGAUCAAAUUCGAUUUAAAAAAGUAUGGUGCCCCAGAUAGUUGAUAUCCAGUACGUAUGUCCACAUGACCUACAAAACUGUUGAGAAAUUCUUUGGAACAAUUUUGUAAGUCACAUAACCACAUUGUAAAACAUUUGAUUGACAUAAUGGUUGUCAGAUGCUGUAAAGAUCCUUCAAUUUACCUGUUUUCAACAAGAUGGUGGAUUGGAUUAAAAAAUACUCCCAAGAACUUGAAGUGGACAUGUUGAGAAAUUUCAGCAAUUAUGAACUGCCACUGCGAUUUGACCAAAAUUGUGGGUUAUCUUAUAAGGUCUUUGUGUACUGGAUCUGAAAUGUUGGGAAAAAUUUCCUUACAGCGACUGUUCCAGUGAGUUAACCUUGAAUUAAAAUAAGAAAAAGCGUUCAGGUUUGACUGGAAUGGUGCGAGAUACACGUAAACCAAAACCUUCAAAGAAGAGCUGUAAAGAAAUUUUGCCAAGUAGCUUUUAGGCAGAAAGCUCGAAUUUAUAAACAGUACCCUUUUAAUAGACGCGGUGGGUCAUAGCUGUCAG